rnacentral:lncRNA from 1 species
GCAUUCGCCGCUGCCACGCACCCACCAUUGCGCGCAGAGAGAGCAACCUGCGAGAGUCGGAUUGGGGAUGGGGGAUAACGCACCCGCCGGGGCUGGUCUCAGAAACUAACCAGGAUUCCCUCAGUAAUGGCGAGUGAACAGGGAAGAGCCCAGUGCCGAAUCCCCGCCGCGUGCCGUGGCGCGUGAAAUGUGGCGUAUGGAAGACUCAGUCCCCGGCAAAGCUCGUGGGGGCCCAAGUCCUUCUGAUCAAGGCCGAGCCCUUGGAUGGUGUGAGGCCGUUAGCGGGCCCAGGUUUGCCGGGCCCAGAUCUUCCUGGAGUCGGGUUGCUUGGGAAUGCAGCCCAAAGUGGGUGGUAAACUCCAUUUAAGGCCAAAUACCGGCACGAGACCGAAAGCCAACAAGUACAGUAAGGAAAAGUUGAAAAGAACUUUGAAGAGAGUUCAAGAGGACGUGAAACCGUUAAGAGGUAAACGGGUGUGGUCAGCGCAGUCCGCCCAGAGGAUUCAACCCAGAGACAGGCGUUCGGCUGUGCGGGUGAUCCCGGGGGAUCUUUCCCACUUCCCGUUCCUCCCGACCCCUCCACCCGCGCGUUUUUCUCCCCCUGCCAAGCGUCCCGCCGUCGCUGUCCCCGUUCCUCCCAACAGGGUGGUCGGCGGGCGCUCAGGCGGCGGGCGCGGGUGCGCAGGUGCUGCGGGGGGGGGGGGAUUGGUGGGUGACCGCCCCUCCCCCCAUGUUCGGCGACUGGCCGCAGCCAGGCGCCCUUCCACCAAGGCGGUGCACGGAAACCGGCUAAGGGACCACUGGGAAGGCCCUACGGGGAAGGUGACUGGGGGGGGAGGGUGGUGCGGUGCGGUAUCACCUGGGGGCCCCAGACCACCCUGUCCCGAGUGUUACAGCACCUCCUCUCCAUACAGAAGACACUGACAGACAGACUGACAGACACACACAAACAGACACACACACACAAAUACAUAUUUAAGUAUUUAAAAUGAUGCUUAAAAAAAACAGUCUUCCUGUUUAAAGGGAAGUUGGCUGACAGAACGUUUUUGUGGUUUUUUAUCCUCUUUUUUACCAAGUAGGAGGUAGAUCUGUUGGCCCUUUUAUUAAAAGCCAAAGUAUUAAGUUUCAACUUUUCCCAUUAUGUUCCUUUCACGAAAACCAGGGAAUGUUGUUUUUUUGCCUUUUCCUUUUUGAAACAAAAUGAAAGGAGCUCUACCAGUUGGCCUAGUUUCCCUGUUCCUUUUCCCUCUGCCAUGGUAUGCUCGAUGAAAUAAAGUAAAUAAAUGAA